rnacentral:rRNA from 1 species
AAAGUGUACAGGUUUCCGUAGGUGACCUGCGGAGGAUCAUUACCGAUGUAAAAUCCAAGUUUAAUUGGAGUGUACCGCGAACCGUCCUUGACGUUGGGGGUCGUCCUUGUGAGUGACGUUAAAUAGCGUUAGCCUGCUCGAGAUCAAAGGACGUUAGAGAAGAGAUGUUAUUCUCGGAUAUUUCGUCCGUUGGACAGGUGUCUCGCAGCCCCCACAUUUAUUUUUUUAAAACACAGUAACAAAAAAUCUAAACAACCUGAAAAAUACCUUAUAAACAGUACAACUUUUAACGGUGGAUCUCUUGGCUCGCGCAUCGAUGAAGAACGCAGCCAGGUGCGAUAAGUAAUGUGAAUUGCAGAAUUCAGUGAAUCAUCGAAUCUUUGAACGCAAAUGGCGCUCUUGGGUUUUCCCAGGAGCAUGUC